CGCGAGGUCGCGGUGCCGAGAGCUCGGCGCGGGAGCUGGCAGCGGGAGGAGAGGUUGCGGCGGACCCGGGCGGCCCGGGCUCCGGAGCCAGUUCCAGCUGCUGGCCCUGCCGGGAGACGCAGAAACUGAAAAGGAUCUGAGGCAAGCGUGUACCCUUUGAUGCUGCAGGCUGUCCCUGUAUGCUGCCUAGAGGAGCACAGCAUCCCCACUACCUUGAGUUCCACUCAGAUGGACUCUAGCUGAAAAAAGAAAAUCCCACAAAGAAAACUAAUAGAAGAAUCUAUUCUGCCAUUGUUGUGCCUUUGUUUUAGCCCAGACAUGGGAACUGUCAGAACUGGAGUUGCUAAAUAGAGCUAUGCCGUCUUUUUCUGAUAAUGUGUAGUAAAAUGUACUACAACUUAUAUAAUUCAGUUCCAAGAACUAGAGGUCAGAAAUUACCACAUCGGCUAGAGGAAAUUUUUCCUUUUCAUGGAAUGUGGAAUAAAAUUAUAAAUCAUACCCUUAA